UAACUUCGUGGAGUUCCUCUGAACAAUUCCUCAACAAUUUGAUAAGUUCCUUAAAAAGUUCCUAACUUCCUGUUUCAUUGACCAAUCAGAUUGCUCAAAAAUAGAAUAUAAAAUUUGAUUGGUCAAUGAAACAGGAAGUUGGGAACUUUUUAAGGAACUUAUCAAAUUGUUGAGGAAUUGUUCAGAGGAACUCCUCGAAGUUA
rnacentral:miRNA from 1 species